AAUGGAGUGCCUGAUUAAAGGGAUACCUUGAUAGGGUAUAUAAAGUAAAUUCAUUACCUCCAUUA
rnacentral:tRNA from 1 species